rnacentral:rRNA from 1 species
GACGAACGCUGGCGGCGUGCUUAACACAUGCAAGUCGAACGGAAAGGCCCUGCUUUUGUGGGGUGCUCGAGUGGCGAACGGGUGAGUAACACGUGAGUAACCUGCACUUGACUUUGGGGUAACUUCAGGAAACUGGGGCUAAUACCGGAUAGGAGCUCCUGCUGCAUGGGGGGGGUUGGAAAGUUUCGGCGGUUGGGGAUGGACUCGCGGCUUCUCCGCUUGUUGGUGGGGUAGUGGCUUACCAAGGCUUUGAAGGGUAGCCGGCCUGAGAGGGUGACCGGCCACAUUGGGACUGAGAUACGGCCCAGACUCCUACGGGAGGCAGCAGUGGGGAAUAUUGCACAAUGGGCGGAAGCCUGAUGCAGCAACGCCGCGUGCGGGAUGACGGCCUUCGGGUUGUAAACCGCUUUCGCCUGUGACGAAGCGUGAGUGACGGUAAUGGGUAAAGAAGCACCGGCUAACUACGUG